CCUACGGGUGGCAGCAGUGAGGAAUAUUGGUCAAUGGACGAGAGUCUGAACCAGCCAAGUAGCGUGAAGGAUGACUGCCCUAUGGGUUGUAAACUUCUUUUAUAAAGGAAUAAAACGAGGCACGUGUGCCUUUUUGCAUGUACUUUAUGAAUAAGGAUCGGCUAACUCCGUGCCAGCAGCCGCGGUAAUACGGAGGAUCCGAGCGUUAUCCGGAUUUAUUGGGUUUAAAGGGAGCGUAGAUGGGUUGUUAAGUUAGUUGUGAAAGUUUGCGGCUCAACCGUAAAAUUGCAAUUGAUACUGGCAGUCGUGAGUACAGUUGAGGUAAGCGGAAUUCGUGGUGUAGCGGUGAAAUGCUUAGAUAUCACGAAGAACCCCGAUUGCGAAGGCAGCUUACUAAACUGUGACUGACAUUGAUGCUCGAAAGUGUGGGUAUCAAACAGGAUUAGAUACCCUUGUAGUC
rnacentral:rRNA from 1 species